GAAAUGCGAUACGUAGUGUGAAUUGCAGAAAUCAGUGAAUCAUCAAAUCUUUGAACGCACAUUGCACUUGAAGAGUAAUUCCUUCAAGUACACUUGUCUGAGUGUCCUUUUCCUAUCUUCAAUCUUUUCUUUUCGAAUUGAUUGCAUUCUUUUGCAUUCUGUUCCAGAGUGUUUAAGUAAAGUGAUGGUUACAAAGGUUAACAAUUAAUCCGUGAAUUUAGAGUGUCUCUUUCAAUGUAUUCAAUUGGUGAUGAACUAUCCGUUUAAACCUUUUGAUUUGAAAGAGCAACUAAAAACACAAUCUAAAACAAAGACCUCAGAUCAAGUGACAGCACCCGCUGAAUUUAA
rnacentral:misc_RNA from 1 species